CCUACGGGUGGCAGCAGUGGGGAAUAUUGCACAAUGGGGGAAACCCUGAUGCAGCGACGCCGCGUGAGUGAAGAAGUAUUUCGGUAUGUAAAGCUCUAUCAGCAGGGAAGAUAAUGACGGUACCUGACUAAGAAGCCCCGGCUAACUACGUGCCAGCAGCCGCGGUAAUACGUAGGGGGCAAGCGUUAUCCGGAUUUACUGGGUGUAAAGGGUGCGUAGGUGGCAGGGCAAGUCAGAUGUGAAAGCCCGGGGCUCAACCCCGGUACUGCAUUUGAAACUGUCCAGCUGGAGUGCAGGAGAGGUAAGCGGAAUUCCUAGUGUAGCGGUGAAAUGCGUAGAUAUCACGAAGAACUCCGAUUGCGAAGGCAGCUUACUAAACUGCCACUGACAUUGAUGCUCGAAAGUGUGGGUAUCAAACAGGAUUAGAUACCCCUGUAGUC
rnacentral:rRNA from 1 species